rnacentral:ncRNA from 1 species
CUGGGAGGUAGGCUUAAAAGUAGCCAUCCUUGAAAGAGUGUGUAACAACUCACCAG